AAGCAGCUAGUUUAGCAAAAACCUUUGAUUUCGGCUCAAAAACUUGUGGUUAAAAUCCAUAGUUGCCUA
rnacentral:tRNA from 1 species